rnacentral:tRNA from 1 species
UAUAUUAUAGUUUAAGGUAAAAAUAUUAAAUUGCAAAUUUAAUGAUAAAAUAAAAAAUUUUUAAUGUAU